UGUUCUCUGGCUUAAGCUAAGGAAGAAACGCCUCUGCUGUCAGUCAAUUUGUGGGGAAGUGGAGAAAAGCCACUAGAGUCCUGUUAGCCGACAGAUUUUUAAAUACUUAUCUUGACGACUGGUUUCAGUUCUUCCCCACCCCCAUGCCUCCUGACUGAACUUGGAGCUUUUCCCAACAUACCCAACACAUCUCCUUUGACAGUGCUGGACUUCCUGUACACUUUCUCCUAGUCUGGAUUAUUUAUCAGUAAGAACUUAUUCUCUGGAAAUCAUUCACAAUUUCAUUUGUGCUACUGGUAUCACUUCUUAUUUGCUUUGCAACUAUGGAUUUAUUUUCCUUGUAAAACAACGUUGAUGUGUAAUGGAACUGGGAAGGAAAAGGAUAAACCCACUUCAUAUGUUCUCCGUUUUUUAACUAGGGGCUCUGUGAGCUUGAAUUCCCAGUUGGAGUUUAGAUUUGGUGCUUCAUUUGGACUCUGAACUUCCAAAGGUCUACCUCGGAGAACAUUUUGAGCAGGAAAGAGAAGUGCAGGGACUACUCUUCACUGAGAUGCGCAGGCUUCUCGUUGCGGCGGCUUCUCUUGCGGCAGAGCAUGGGCUCUGGGCCCCCCAGAGUUCAGUAGUUGCGGCACACAGGCUUAGUUACCCCGCAGCAUGUGGAAUCCUCCCAG